GCACUGGUUUAGCUCAGUGGUUAUGACAAAGCCUAGAUACCACGGUCCACAGCGGGUUGGAGUGCCGAACCACGGGCGCUGUCCAGCGUAUGC
ensembl:misc_RNA Vault Vault RNA